rnacentral:tRNA from 1 species
GCCCGGAUGGUGGAAUUGGCAGACACGCAGGACUUAAAAUCCUGUGGCCCGGAAGGGCCGUGCGGGUUCAAGUCCCGCUCCGGGUACGA